rnacentral:rRNA from 1 species
GACGAACGCUGGCGGCGUGCCUAAUACAUGCAAGUAGAACGCUGAAGGAGGAGCUUGCUCUUCUGGAUGAGUUGCGAACGGGUGAGUAACGCGUAGGUAACCUGCCUGGUAGCGGGGGAUAACUAUUGGAAACGAUAGCUAAUACCGCAUAAGAGUAGAUGUUGCAUGACAUUUACUUAAAAGGUGCAAUUGCAUCACUACCAGAUGGACCUGCGUUGUAUUAGCUAGUUGGUGGGGUAACGGCUCACCAAGGCGACGAUACAUAGCCGACCUGAGAGGGUGAUCGGCCACACUGGGACUGAGACACGGCCCAGACUCCUACGGGAGGCAGCAGUAGGGAAUCUUCGGCAAUGGACGGAAGUCUGACCGAGCAACGCCGCGUGAGUGAAGA